CACUUACGUGUAUAUAUGUACGUAUUUAUAAGUACCUACAGUACAGUAAGCAUCAGAGAGUAAAGAGAGAGGUAUAGACGGCGGUAUGGAGUGCAUAGACGUAUAGAUAUAGAUGACGGUGUGGUAGACGUACACGUGAAAAGACACGAUGUAGAUGGGGUGAAGAAGAAGCUAGUAGAAUAUUUGAAAGUCCAUAUCGACCGGCGCAACGCGGUCGGGACAGUCACGACCCAAGCAUGACGAGCGCAAUGAACUGCAGUGAAAGCAGCCACGGAAUCGCAUUCUGGGCCAGACGGAAGAAACGCGAGACGACCGACGUCCGUGCCGACGUUGCGAUAUAAGGUUUAACGGCCUUUAUAUUUUUCCUGUGCAUCGGCUAAUUUUUUUUAUCCUCGUUAAUUUCUUUCAGUGCCCGCUGGUGCUGGUUGCAGAACAAGAACAAGAAGAAGGGGGCGGAGGUGCCGUCUAAGGUAGUAGUGGAGGAGGGAAAAAAAAAUAUUAUUAAAGCCGACGUUUAUGGCCUAUAAAAAGUGCAACGAGCUGCUCGCAAGCAUGUGCAAGACAACACAGUCCCACUCCCUCUCUCUGUUUGCUAAUACAGGUGUUCUAAAUAAUAUAUAUACAUGUAUAGCAUACAUAUAAUGAGGCGAAGAAAAAAUACUUUGACUAUACCUACCAUGAGGGCCAUGUCACUGGAUUUAGAUGUUUGAUGAACGUGGAGGAUUCGCGCACCCAACUCGACCAACUUUCUCCUCAAUUGUUUGACAGAGACGCCGAGCGUCUGUAUGCAGCGACGCCGCAG